AUUGAACGCUGGCGGCAUGCCUUACACAUGCAAGUCGAACGGUAACGGGCCUUCGGGUGCCGACGAGUGGCGAACGGGUGAGUAAUACAUCGGAACGUGCCCGAUCGUGGGGGAUAACGAGGCGAAAGCUUUGCUAAUACCGCAUACGAUCUACGGAUGAAAGCAGGGGACCGCAAGGCCUUGCGCGGACGGAGCGGCCGAUGGCAGCUUAGGUAGUUGGUGGGAUAAAAGCUUACCAAGCCGACGAUCUGUAGCUGGUCUGAGAGGAUGAUCAGCCACACUGGGACUGAGACACGGCCCAGACUCCUACGGGAGGCAGCAGUGGGGAAUUUUGGACAAUGGGCGCAAGCCUGAUCCAGCCAUGCCGCGUGCAGGAUGAAGGCCUUCGGGUUGUAAACUGCUUUUGUACGGAACGAAAAGCCUUCUUUUAAUACAGGAGGGUCAUGACGGUACCGUAAGAAUAGGCACCGGCUAACUACGUG
rnacentral:rRNA from 1 species